rnacentral:rRNA from 1 species
AUUGAACGCUAGCGGGAUGCCUUACACAUGCAAGUCGAACGGAGUGGCGAACGGGUGAGUAAUGUAUCGGAACGUGCCCAGUAGAGGGGGAUAACUACGCGAAAGCGUAACUAAUACCGCAUACUAUUGGAGCGGCCGAUAUCGGAUUAGCUAGUUGGUGGGGUAACGGCUCACCAAGGCUACGAACCGUAGCUGGUUUGAGAGGACGACCAGCCAUACUGGGACUGAGCAACGGCCCAGACUCCUACGGGAGUCAGCAGUGGGGAAUUGUGGACAAUGGGGUAAACCCUGUUCCAGCCAUCCCGCGUGUGCGCUGAAGGCCUUCGGUUUGUAAAGCACUUUUGGCAGGAAAGCGGUACCUGCAGAAUAAGCACCGGCUAACUACGUGCCAGCCGCCGCGGUAAUAG